rnacentral:rRNA from 1 species
UGGGGAAUCUUCCGCAAUGGGCGAAAGCCUGACGGAGCAACGCCGCGUGAGUGAAGACGGCCUUCGGGUUGUAAAACUCUGUGAUUCGGGACGAAAGAUAAGUAGACGAAUAAUCUGCAUAAGUGACGGUACCGAAAAAGCAAGCCACGGCUAACUACGUGCCAGCAGCCGCGGUAAUACGUAGGUGGCAAGCGUUGUCCGGAAUUAUUGGGCGUAAAGCGCGCGCAGGCGGCUACUUAAGUCCAUCUUAAAAGUGCGGGGCUUAACCCCGUGAUGGGAUGGAAACUGAGAAGCUGGAGUGUCGGAGAGGAAAGUGGAAUUCCUAGUGUAGCGGUGAAAUGCGUAGAUAUUAGGAGGAAUACCGGUGGCGAAGGCGACUUUCUGGACUUUUACUGACGCUCAGGUACGAAAGCGUGGGGAGCAAACAGG